rnacentral:rRNA from 1 species
UACAGAGGGGGCAAGCGUUGUUCGGAAUUACUGGGCGUAAAGGGCGCGUAGGCGGAUAAGCAAGUCAACUGUGAAAUCCCGAGGCUCAACCUCGGAAGAGCAAGUGAAACUAUUUAUCUAGAGGGAUGGCGGAGAAAACGGAAUUCCACGUGUAGCGGUGAAAUGCGUAGAUAUGUGGAAGAACACCUGUGGCGAAAGCGGUUUUCUAGCUUCCCCCUGACGCUGAGGCGCGAGAGCAAGGGGAGCAAACAGG